rnacentral:rRNA from 1 species
AACGAACGCUGGCGGCAGGCUUAACACAUGCAAGUCGAACGCAUCCUUCGGGGUGAGUGGCAGACGGGUGAGUAACGCGUGGGAACGUGCCCUUCAGUUCGGGAUAACCCAGGGAAACUUGGGCUAAUACCGGAUACGUGCGAGAGCAGAAAGAUUUAUCGCUGAAGGAUCGGCCCGCGUCAGAUUUGCUAGUUGGUGGGGUGAUGGCCCACCAAGGCGACGAUCAGUCGCUGGUCUGAGAGGUUGAUCAGCCACAUUGGGACUGAGACACGGCCCAUACUCCUACGGGAGGCAGCAGUGCGGAAUAUUGUACAAUGGCGGCAAGCCUCAUCCAGCCAUGCCGCGUGAGUGAUGAAGGCCUUAGGGUUGUAAUGCUCUUUCGUCCGGGACGAUAAUGACGGUACCGGAAGAAGAAGCCUCGGUUAACUUCGUGCCAGAAGCUGUAGUAA